GAGGGCGUAGCUCAGUGGUAGAGUGAGUGCUUAGUACACACAAAGUCCAGGGUUCAAUCCCCAGUCCCUCU
rnacentral:tRNA from 1 species